AUGCCGUUAUUAAGAGGUCCACGGGUCCUCUUUUCCUCGCCCCUUAGUUACCUGCAGGCUGGGCUCCUUUCCACCUCUUCUCACUGGCCUCCUGUUUGUACCCCUGACCUCUCCGGGAUCUGUCUGUGGGGAAUCACCACACUGUCUUCUACAAUGAGAACCCUGAUUUUCUAUAUCUGGACAAAAGACUAGGACAUAAGAAAGAGAAGUUUAGUGGAAGGAACUAACUGAGGGAGAGACAUUGCACAGCAGACAAGGACAAAUAACAGGAGGGUGGAAACAAGGGUAAGUGAACUUGCCAAAGAAAUAGGCUCAAUAGGAAAGAAUUGUUAUGUGGGUAUGCUUAUGACUUUUAAGCAUUUGACUUGCAAUAAGUGUGGUUACUGUUUCUAAUGGAAAAUGGCAGACACUAAAAACACUGAAGAUCAGCUAUGAAGGUGAGCAGUGAUAUUAAAACAACACAGGGUUUGGUGUCAGAUAAAGAAAGUGACAUUUAUAAUGAUUUUUAUCUGCAAAAUGGCUCUAACAAUAGUGCCCAGCUCAAUGGAUUGUUAAAAGGCUUAAAUGAGAUAUGAUAAGGUGCCCAGCAUAAUGCUUGACAAAUAGGAUGCAGAAAAACCUAAUCUUUACUUGGGGGUAUUCAGAAAUUCUCUACAUUUAGAUGUCUUCCCAGAUCUCAUAUGACCUUGAAAUAAAACUCCAUCUUCCUGGAUAUAGAAAGUAAGGCUAGAUGUAAGGCUUUGGGGUUAAAAUAGGCUUGAACUUGAAUCACUUUUACACCUCUAGCUGCUUGAUACACCUCAGGCAAUACCUCGAUCUAACUCACAGGAUCAAAUGAGGUAAUACACACAUUAAAAGACUUAACACAUGGUUUUCACUUAGAGAAUCUUUGUUCCUUUCUCCUUGACUCUUUGUAUUUUUGAAGUGUCUUAAAUAGCUUUAAUAGGAUUUUUUAAAAGUUAGAAUUACUUUUGCUCAUGAUAAAGAUCUGACAUAUUUUUAAGUGGAAGAUUACUUCAAGUAUUUUUAAUUAGCUUUUUUUAAAAACCACAGAUUUUGAAUUUAUAACAACCUUUAUCUCUGUUUUCAAAUAUAUUCCAUCUUUUCACCUCAGAUUUGUUUGACAGCCUAAUAUUUGUGUGUAUGUGUGUAUACAUACAUGCACACAAAUACAUAAAUUCAAGGGCAAAGAAAGUACUUUUGUUAGCUUAUUGAGGUAUAAUUUAUAUAUAAAAUCCAUCAAUUUUCAGUACCUAUACAAUUCAAUAAAUUUUGACAAUUGUAUAAAGUCAUACAACCACGGGCACUAUGGUGUUAUAAAAUAUUUUCAGCACUCCAAUAUGCCUCCUGG
rnacentral:lncRNA from 1 species